rnacentral:rRNA from 1 species
AUUGAACGCUGGCGGCAGGCCUAACACAUGCAAGUCGAGCGGAUGAAGGGAGCUUGCUCCUGGAUUCAGCGGCGGACGGGUGAGUAAUGCCUAGGAAGCUGCCUGGUAGUGGGGGAUAACGUCCGGAAACGGGCGCUAAUACCGCAUACGUCCUGAUGGAGAAAGGGGGGGAUCUUCGGACCUCACGCUAUCAGAUGAGCCUAGUUCGGAUUAGCUAGUUGGUGGGGUAAAGUCCUACCAGGGCGACGAUCCGUGACUGGUCUGAGGGGAUGAUCAGUCACACUGGAACUGGGACCCGGUCCAGCCUCCUACGGGAGGAAGCGGUGGGGAAUAUUGGCAAAUGGGCGAAAGCCUGCUCCAGCCAUGCCGCGUGUGUGAAGAAGGUCUUCGGAUUGUAAAGCACUUUAAGUUGGGAGAAAGGGCAGUAAGUUAAUACCUUGCUGUUUUGCCGUUACCAACAGAAUAAGCACCGGCUAACUUCGU